AUUGAACGCUAGCGGGGUGCCUUACACAUGCAAGUCGAACGGAGUGGCGCACGGGUGAGUAAUGUAUCGGAUCAUGCACAGUAGCGGGGGAUAACUACGCGAGAGCGUAACUAAUACCGCAAACUAUUGGAGCGGUCGAUGCCGGAUUAGCUAGUGGGUGGGGUAACGGCUCACCAAGGCGACGAUCCGUCGCUGGUUUGAGAGGAAGACCAGCCACACGGGGACUGAGAAACGGCCCAGACUCCUACGGGAGGCAGCAGUGGGGAAUUUUGGACAAUGGGGGAAACCCUGACGCAGCCAGCCCGCGUGGGGGAUGAAGGCCUUCGGGUUGUAAAGCACGUUUGUCAGGAAGGCGGUACCUGCAGAAUAAGCACCGGCUAACUACGUGCCAGCAGCCGCGGUAAUUC
rnacentral:rRNA from 1 species